AGAGGUGGUUCCUGUGCCCCAGAGAAGAGGGAGCUGUCAUCGGGCUGAGGGGCAGUGCUCUGCUCCUGGUUUGUUCCAGGUGGAAUGGCAGCUGAGUGACACAAGUUUCCUGCCUGGGAUCCUGGAAAGUCCUAUACAGCCUUCGCCAUGCUUAGUCCGAGUCUCAGUUUCCUCAUCUCCACAGUGGGUUGCCGGUAUGACAAUGGGGUUGGAGUAAGGGAGCCACAGACAGCUGUUUAAGGCGUUCCAGAAACAUCAUGGCCACAGACGACACUGAUCAGAAAGCCCUAAUCU